CCGCACAAGCGGUGGAGCAUGUGGUUUAAUUCGACGCAACGCGAAGAACCUUACCAGGCUUGACAUCCCCUGACCGCGUAUGAAAGUACGUUUUCACCCUCGGGUGACAGGGAGACAGGUGGUGCAUGGUUGUCGUCAGCUCGUGUCGUGAGAUGUUGGGUUAAGUCCCGCAACGAGCGCAACCCCUACGUUUAGUUGCUAACGCGUGAAGGCGAGCACUCUAGACGAACUGCCGUUGACAAAACGGAGGAAGGUGGGGAUGACGUCAAAUCAUCAUGCCCCUUAUGUUCUGGGCUACACACGUGCUACAAUGGCCGGUACAGACGGAGGCGAAGCCGCGAGGCGGAGCAAAUCCGAAAAAGCCGGUCUCAGUUCGGAUUGCAGGCUGCAAUUCGCCUGCAUGAAGUCGGAAUCGCUAGUAAUCGCAGGUCAGCAUACUGCGGUGAAUACGUUCCCGGGCCUU
rnacentral:rRNA from 1 species